rnacentral:lncRNA from 1 species
CUGAGAUGGGUGUGAGUGAAAGCAGUGUGCAGAGGAGCCAGAAGAGAAAGAGAAAGCUACAAAAAUGUCAUCCGUUGGUGGGAAUUGAGACUGGAUUUCAGUGGAGAGCUGUUGUCUUCUGCUCUGGAUCACAUGAAGAAAACUCUUCUUCACCAAAUCCAACUCAGAAGUUCUCCGUGAUAAAAAAUAGGAUGGUUUCUUUGCAUCAGCCUUCUACACCAGAAAUCUCUUGUGUCAUCGGCUCAAGCUGUUCAUGGGAGACGUCCACAGACAGUUUUGGAAAGCCAGACUGGGUGUUAUCUUCCAUUGGUGUCCUGGCAUCGCAGGAGAGGCAGCA